rnacentral:rRNA from 1 species
AUGAACGCUGGCGGCGUGCCUCAUACAUGCAAGUCGAGCGAACGGACGAGAAGCUUGCUUCUCUGAUGUUAGCGGCGGACGGGUGAGUAACACGUGGAUAACCUACCUAUAAGACUGGGAUAACUUCGGGAAACCGGAGCUAAUACCGGAUAAUAUUUUGAACCGCAUGGUUCAAAAGUGAAAGACGGUCUUGCUGUCACUUAUAGAUGGAUCCGCGCUGCAUUAGCUAGUUGGUAUGGUAACGGCUUACCAAGGCAACGAUGCAUAGCCGACCUGAGAGGGUGAUCGGCCACACUGGAACUGAGACACGGUCCAGACUCCUACGGGAGGCAGCAGUAGGGAAUCUUCCGCAAUGGGCGAAAGCCUGACGGAGCAACGCCGCGUGAGUGAUGAAGGUCUUCGGAUCGUAAAACUCUGUUAUUAGGGAAGAACAUAUGUGUAAGUAACUGUGCACAUCUUGACGGUACCUAAUCAGAAAGCCACGGCUAACUACGUG